CCCCCAAAGUCCCCAAAAGAAAUGUCCCAGGGGACACAGUGGACUCUGCAAACUCCACCGUGCAAACUGCUUCAAAUUUCCAGCUAAUGUCUCUAAACUGUGUGAAACGUUGUCCCCUGACCCUGAGGUGACGGAGGAGGAGGAGGAGGGGGCGGGGGUUUGAUUAUCUGUGUGAUUUGUGUCCUCGCUGCAGGAGACGCUCUUCAGAUCCAGUGUUACCAGUGUGAGGAGAUGAAGCACAACGACUGCUCCACGCCAGAGUUCAUCGUCAACUGCACCGUCAACGUGCAGGACAUGUGUCAGAAGGAGGUUCUGGUCAAACCCGACGGAAUUCAUUACAGGAAGUCCUGCGCCUCCUCGGGGGCCUGCCUCAUCGCCUCCUCCGGAUACCAGCAGUUCUGCACCGGGAGGUUGAACUCCGUCUGCAUCUCCUGCUGCAACACGCCGCUCUGCAACGGGCCCAAGAGGAGGCGCCCCGUCCCCUCGGCGGCGGCGACGCCUCAACCGCAGAGGAGCCGUCGCCUCCUCCUGACCUUUCUCCUGCUGCCGCUGACGCUCCUCCGGCUGACGUAGACGCUCCCACCGCACCUCCACUGUACAGUUUCUCAUAUUCACUUCAAUCACUUUCUAUCUGUUGCUCUCCUCCAUCCUCCACGUGGUCGCUCCUGGUCUCAAAAAUCCAAGAUGGCGCUUGAACAAAACGUCACACUGAGGCUUCAGAGUGAGUGACGUCACGGUUGAUUCCGGAGCCCGCGGCCGCCGCCGCCGCUGCUGCGACGGCUGAGGCGACAUCACGACCACAGAAUGUCUCUGCAGACCUGGAGCUGCGUGAGUCUCGUCAGAGGACGACUCGUCCCUCUGCCGCGGACACGUCCGUCCAUUUCUGUGCUUUGUUGUGAAGUGGAGCGUUGUUUGUGAAGAAGCUGAUCUGAAACCAGCUGUUAAAGGUUGAAGUUACUGUGGAAAAUAAGCUUUUACUUAUUAUAAUGAUUGUGAUCUCACAAACCCAAACUUAUAUUCUUCAUAUUUAUGAUGACGGAGACACUUUGAUUCAGAUCAAUAAGGUUCCGCAGCUUAUUCCUGCAUAUUCUCCACUGCCACACAGUAUUGAUCGAAGUUUUACGACAGGGAAUAUGAAGUUGUACUGAAAUACUUUUGUAUUUUUUGGGUUGAUUCUUCCACACGAACAGUUUGUUAGCGAACCACUGAAACUUCACAUAU